rnacentral:rRNA from 1 species
GCUGGAGGUAUCGGAAGUGCGAAUGCUGACAUGAGUAGCGAUAAAGGGGGUGAAAGGCCCCCUCGCCGUAAGCCCAAGGUUUCCUACGCAACGUUCAUCGGCGUAGGGUGAGUCGGCCCCUAAGGCGAGGCAGAAAUGCGUAGCUGAUGGGAAGCAGGUCAAUAUUCCUGCACCAUUGUUAAAUGCGAUGGGGGGACGGAUCGCGGAAGGUUGUCCGGGUGUUGGAAGUCCCGGUCGCUGCAUUGGAGAAGGCGCUUAGGCAAAUCCGGGCGCGGAAUUCAAGGGUGUGGCGCGAGCUUCUUAGGAAGCGAAGCAAUUGGAAGUGGUUCCAAGAAAAGCCUCUAAGCUUCAGUCAUACGAGACCGUACCGCAAACCGACACAGGUGGGCGAGAUGAGUAUUCUAAGGCGCUUGAGAGAACUCGGGAGAAGGAACUCGGCAAAUUGGUACCGUAACUUCGGGAUAAGGUACGCCCUGGUAGCUUGACCAGCCUGCGCUGGAAGGGUGAAGGGGUUGCAAUAAACUGGUGGCUGCGACUGUUUAAUAAAAACACAGCACUCUGCAAACACGAAAGUGGACGUAUAGGGUGUGACGCCUGCCCGGUGCCGGAAGAUUAAAUGAUGGGGUGCAAGCUCUUGAUUGAAGUCCCGGUAAACGGCGGCCGUAACUAUAACGGUCCUAAGGUAGCGAAAUUCCUUGUCGGGUAAGUUCCGACCUGCACGAAUGGCGUAACGAUGGCCACACUGUCUCCUCCCGAGACUCAGCGAAGUUGAAGUGUUUGUGAUGAUGCAAUCUACCCGCGGCUAGACGGAAAGACCCCAUGAACCUUUACUGUAGCUUUGCAUUGGACUUUGAACCAAUCUGUGUAGGAUAGGUGGGAGGCUUUGAAGCGGGGACGCCAGUUCUCGUGGAGCCAUCCUUGAAAUACCACCCUGGUUCAUUUGAGGUUCUAACCUUGGCCCGUUAUCCGGGUCGGGGACAGUGCAUGGUAGGCAGUUUGACUGGGGCGGUCUCCUCCU